CUUGACAUAGUUUUUUUUUAAGUUUCCUUUAUUUAUUUUAUUUGGGCCUCUGGGCCUUAAACUCAUGCUUUUGUUUGGUUUUCGGUUUUGAGUCUUCCCUGUCACGGAAAAGGGCUUGGAAUUAAAAACCAAACAAAGGCAAAAGCUGAGAGUCUAAUGGCACUGCUAAGCUAAGCAGCUGGGGAUUUAGCCCUUGUAAAACUGAAACUCUAAAUGCCCUGGUGGGGUCUGUCCCAUGCCCAGGCUCUGAUGGCUGCGUUGGCUGGUCCAUCAUGGCUCUGCCACUGUCUGGUGGCUCUGGGGACAGUUCUGUACAAAGUGGAAGUCACCAAGCCUGCCCACAGAGCCUCCACAAGAUUUACUUUGGAUUUCAUGUGCUCUUUCAUUGGCCUGGCCUCUCCUUCCAUCAGGGACUUCUUCUCCCAUUAAGGUACCACCACCUCACUCCAGACCCAAGUGGAAGAUAGUGGUUUGCUCAGGGUUUCAUUCAUUGGGCUCUGCCUGGUUGUCUUCAGCUAACAGCACAGCAUGUUGACAUCUGCUGGACUGCUGCCUGCUUCAGAGCAUCGCUCUGGCUCAGAUGCCUCAUCAAGUUCUGGGGAUUGCCCUUUACUCUACUCUCAUGGCUAUUUGAUCACUUGGGCAAGUUUUUCUGGGUUGAAGGAAGAGUGGGCACAGGGAAGCCAUCACUUAAGAUAGAGAGGCAAUGGAUGCUUGAGAGCCUCAAAACCUCCUCUGAGCUCAGCUCAAAGCUCAUGUUUUGUUUCAACUGUGCGUUGCUUUGCAGUUGAGAGGAAAUCCAGGCAUUUAUGAAACACUCAGCAGUUCAGGCUUGGAGCUGUGCUGUCCUGGCUGCUUGAUCAAUAGCAUCUGGCUGAAGCUUAUAAUGAAAAGCAGGUGGCUGGCUGUACAGGGGUAAGAAACUGCUGUGAUUUGAACUAGUAAGAGUAGGCUUAAAUCAGGGCAGGGACAUUCAGGCUUCAGAAACCUCUGCUGUUCAAUCACCCAUCUGAUCAGACCUGGGGAACAGUACACAGCUGCACUGCACCAGCACUGCCUCCUUUGCCCUCCUCUCCCCACUUUGAAGAAUAAUUCAUUUCUUAUGUCCAUUGGGCAUUUAGGUGUGGGUUCUCAGAGUCUGACAACAUCUGUGGCUCAAAUAAUAAGCUUUAAGCAUCUGAGUAUCUUUGAUACUCCAGCUCUGCUCAGGACCUCCAGCUGCCUCCAUGGGGACAAAAAUAACUCUCUUCAUGUCCUGCGAGGGCUCAGCAGGCUGCUUGCCUGUACAGCUCACAUAAGGCAGGGAACAUACAAAGACUGUUCUCCCGUGUGCUUUUGUUGCUUAAGGGUUGAGCUCAUAUCUGGGCAGGGGAAGGGGACUGGAGGAAGAUGGGCACUGGAGUGCCAACCAAAGAGCUCUCUGAAAGGCCCUGGGUGUCAGAAUGAGCUGUGGUGGCCUUGAUGUGGUUCCUGUCCUCAGGAUGUGGUUCCUGUUGAAUCUAGCAUGGAGUCAGCCAUGACACCAGCUUGGGAGAAUAUACCAAGGACCUCAGCCAUGGAAAAAGAGGAUGCAAUGUGUUCCUCCUCCCUGCCUUGCUUAGAGGUCCUCUGAAUGAUGAUAGGAGAGGACCAUGAUGAGGCCAAUUUCAUCUCACUUGCUUCAACUACCAGAAACGUGGUGCCAUCCCUGCCUGCUAGUCCCUCACUAGCAUUUGCCAAAGCUCCUAAAUUCAUCCAGGAAGGCUGGGCUUGUACAGCUCCUCCUGUACCCCCUGCCAGCUGAUUUGUGUUUUGCACACAAAUGCUUUUCUUAAUGCUCUUUAUGUCCCUGAUUAGAAUUGCAAGAGAGGGUAGCAUGCAGCAAAGAGCUGAGCUUAUCCUCCAUAAUGGUGUAAUGUUCAUCUGCCUCCUGCUGAAUCACAUCAUCCAGUUUGGGGCUGGAAGUAGUAAAUUGUGGGGCUGAGUGAAGUUUUCUGUUCUCCAGAGUACUGUCUGAAAAGGGGGAAAAUGGAUUUCUGAUGGAAGAUUCGUCCUGCUGCCUGGGAUGUUGGGGUCCUUAGGAAUCAUGUUAAAGGUACUGCUGGCAAAGUGCACCCUGCAGCACAGUGCCUCAAGCCUGGAAAAGGCAGGGCUCCCUUCAGAAAAGCCGAUGACGACUCAGUGCAGGUCAGAUUGAAAGAAUCAUAGGGAUACCUUCUGGCUGGGGACUUUUGCAAACACAUGACUAAUCCCCCAACACAUGUGCAACCCAUUCUGAUUUACUACGGAUGCUGACAGCAGUUGGUCUGCCCACGCAUAGCCCACGUGCCCAUCCAUGGAGGUGACAGCAGAGCCACCCGCCACUGAGCUGGGGCAGUCAGCUCCUCCUCAAAGCCCCAGGGAUGAAUGAAGAACAGCGCUGCCCUCCUGGGAAGGCAAAGAUCACCUUAGGUCCAGCAAGCUCCAGGGAAGCAAACUGAGCAAGACCCAACACUUCCCUUGAGCAGAAAUGCUCCGGAGAAGGAGCAGCAGGCAAAAGAGGUGACACCAGGAAAGCACCAUCUGCCCUUUUUCCUUGAAACCCUGGUGAGAGAGAGCUUCCCUCCUGCCCUCAGCCACCCACUUCUUUUUGCCCUGCUUGAGUGACUUGCUGUGAUGGCUCAGAGGAUAACAACCUUGAUUUUCUGCACCACCUCUUCUAUGCACAUUGUUUCUCCUAAGGAUCCAAUUAACCAGGCUCUCCUCCCAGCCUUGGGCUGCAGUAAAUGCAUGCUCUUUCUAUUACUGGAUGUAUUCAAAGAAAAUAAAAAGAAACAGCCUCAAA